UAUUUUAUCUACGAGAUAAUUUAUUUUGAUACUAUACUAAUAUAUAUAUAUAUAUAUAGAUAGAUAGAGAGAGAGAGAGAGAGAGAGGCUACUAUGCUUUUGGAAGCACGGAGCCUUCUGUGCUUCCAGGUCGUUUUCUAUGUUGCGAUUUUCGAAUCGUCGAUCAGCACUGUUAAACUUGAUCUAGAGUAUUUGAAGUAUCUAGAAAAUAAAUUUUAUAAUUUUUCGAUAUCAUUUGCCUAGUGAUCGAAGUAGUUCAAAAUCAAUAAUUUUAAUAGCUGUAGUGAACCGUUUGUGAGUUUAACGGUAUAGAAAUAUCCAAAUCACGUGAAAUUUUGAUAGAAAAUUCUUUAUACUAUAUAAAACAAGAUCAAUAUCUUUGAUCUAAAAUUUUAUUGUUAUAUUAUCACGUUUUGUAAGAUUUUUAUUUUCAGUUGUUGAUUUUAAGCCCCUUCGUUCACUAGGCAAAUAAUAUCGAAAAAUUGCAUAAUUUAUUUUCUAGGUACUUUAAAUACUCUAGAUCAAGUUUAACGGAACCGAUCAACGAUUCGAAAGUCGCUACAUAAAAAAUGACAUGGAAGCACGGAAGGCUCCGUGCUUCCAGAAGCAUAGCAGCCUCACUCUAUAUAUAUAUAUAUAACAAACUAUGAGCAUAUCAAAUUUAAUGAGUGCGAUGGUUUCCGGGAGCAAUUUAAUGAGUGUGAUGGUUUCCGGGAGCAUUAACAAAAUUUGUAAAUUUUACGCUGCCAUCUGUGCUGACAGAUAUAGCGUAUUUUAGAGAGGAAUACUUCAAUACUCCAUAUAAAUCUUGACCAUUUAUUUUUUUUAAUAGAUGGUUUAGAUUUAAUAUGAUUCUAGAGGUGACUUGCUAUUGAAGCAUAGGUACCGUUCACCAGGUACCCAUUUAAAGGGUAUUUUAGUCUUUGUAAAAUAGUUUGGUCCACAAAACCGAUUUUAUCCAACUAAAAAUAUUGUGACCCUCUUAAAUACCUACAAAAAUAGUUGAAUUUUAAAUUACAACCAAACUGUAAAUUUAAAUUCAAAACAACAUUUAAAACUUUAUAAAUCAAAUUUAAUUUUUUUGAAUAUAAAACAUAAAUUUAAAAUAAAACUUUUUGUUCCAAUUCAAAAUUUCAAUUUAAAUCAAAAAUUAAAAUUUGGCUUUAAGAUUAAACGUUCAAUUUAGAUUCAAAUUUAAAAGUUUAAUAUAAAUUUCAAAAUUAAAAUUUUAUAUUACAAUACUAAUUUCAAAAAUUAAAUUUAAAUUCAAUAUUUUUUUGAGAUGAAUACUUAAUAAAUUGGGUAUCAUCUAAUUUGGUAAGUUAUCAAAGUAAAUAAGAUAUUUAAUAUUUAAAGGAUACUGACAAAUUUGGUAUAUACUAUUUUUUUUUCAAUAUUGUCAUGUUAAUUAAUUCAAAUCGGUAAUCUGUUCAACAUGUUACUUCGUGUAAAUCCCAACUAUACCCUUUACUAAUUAAGGAAUUAAAUUUUAAUACUUGUGAUGUAUUGAAGCAUUCCUCUAUUUUAGAAA
rnacentral:lncRNA from 1 species